rnacentral:ncRNA from 1 species
AUAAGUACCGAAGGUUAUGCCUUGACAGGUCAAUAAGCAAUAACUGAUUGAAUAGAUUAAGCGUACUGUAAGUACGUCAGCUUGCUUAGAAGAAAACCAUAUUAAUGGUUUUCUUUUUUUAUGGUU